rnacentral:rRNA from 1 species
CCUACGGGGGGCAGCAGUGGGGAAUAUUGCACAAUGGGGGAAACCCUGAUGCAGCGACGCCGCGUGAGUGAAGAAGUAUUUCGGUAUGUAAAGCUCUAUCAGCAGGGAAGAAAAUGACGGUGCUUGAUUAAGAAGCACCGGCUAACUACGUGCCAGCAGCCGCGGUAAUACGUAGGGGGCAGGCGUUAUCCGGAUGUACUGGGUGUAAGGGAGGCGUAGACGGCAGCACAAGUCUGGAGUGAAAUGCCGGGGCUUAACCCCGGAACUGCUUUGGAAACUGUGCAGCUAGAGUGCAGGAGAGGUAAGUGGAAUUCCUAGUGUAGCGGUGAAAUGCGUAGAUAUUAGGAGGAACACCAGUGGCGAAGGCGGCUAACUGGACUGUAACUGACGUUGAGGCUCGAAAGCGUGGGGAGCAAACAGGAUUAGAUACCCCUGUAGUC